rnacentral:rRNA from 1 species
CCCUUAGAUGUUCUGGGCCGCACGCGCGCUACACUGACGAAUGCAACGAGCUUAUAACCUUGGCCGAAAGGUCUGGGUAAUCUCCAAAUUUCGUCGUGAUGGGGAUAGAUUAUUGCAAUUAUUAAUCUUCAACGAGGAAUGCCUAGUAAGCGCAAGUCAUCAGCUUGCGUUGAUUACGUCCCUGCCCUUUGUACACACCGCCCGUCGCUCCUACCGAUUGAAUGGUCCGGUGAAGCGUUCGGACCGUGGCCUUUGGACGGUUCGCCGUCUGUUUGCUGCGGGAAGUUCGUUAAACCUUAUCAUUUAGAGGAAGGAGAAGUCGUANCA